GUGCCAGCCGCCGCGGUAAUACGUAGGGGGCUAGCGUUGUCCGGAAUCAUUGGGCGUAAAGCGCGUGUAGGCGGUCCGGUAAGUCCGCUGUGAAAGUCGAGGGCUCAACCCUCGAAUGCCGGUGGAUACUGUCGGGCUUGAGUACGGGAGAGGCGAGUGGAAUUCCUGGUGUAGCGGUGAAAUGCGCAGAUAUCAGGAGGAACACCGAUUGCGAAGGCAGCUCGCUGGAACGUUACUGACGCUGAGACGCGAAAGCGUGGGGAGCAAACAGGAUUAGAAACCCCAGUAGUCC
rnacentral:rRNA from 1 species